UUGCGACCACAUCACAUUGAAAUACCGGUUUCCGUACGAUGAUCAGCGUAGUUACUCAACGUUGAGCCAGGUCCGUACCUUGAUGGGUGACCACUUGAGAAUACCAGGUGCUGUAAG